rnacentral:rRNA from 1 species
UACGAAGGGGGCUAGCGUUGCUCGGAAUUACUGGGCGUAAAGGGCGCGUAGGCGGCACUGUUAGUCAGGCGUGAAAGUCCUGGGCUCAACCUGGGAACUGCGCUUGAUACGGCAGAGCUAGAGGAUGGAAGAGGCUCGCGGAAUUCCCAGUGUAGAGGUGAAAUUCGUAGAUAUUGGGAAGAACACCGGUGGCGAAGGCGGCGAGCUGGUCCAUUACUAGACGCUGAGGCGCGACAGCGUGGGGAGCAAACAGGAU